UACGAAGGGGGCUAGCGUUGUUCGGAUUUACUGGGCGUAAAGCGCACGUAGGCGGAUCGUUAAGUCGGGGGUGAAAUCCUGGAGCUCAACUCCAGAACUGCCUUCGAUACUGGCGAUCUUGAGUCCGGAAGAGGUGAGUGGAACUCCUAGUGUAGAGGUGGAAUUCGUAGAUAUUAGGAAGAACACCAGUGGCGAAGGCGGCUCACUGGUCCGGUACUGACGCUGAGGUGCGAAAGCG
rnacentral:rRNA from 1 species